GAUAGAACAAGUCAGCUUAACCCGUCUUGGUGAGAUCAUAAAAAGCCAAAUACUUAUCAUCAUAUGAGAGAUAUCAGGUAUGUCUUUAUCAAUCUUAGUUUGCGUAUGUUCUUUUGUUAUUAUUAGCUGUACGAAUACACACACACUGAGGCAUGUUUUUUGUUUAUCACCUAGAGCCUUUCUAGCCAUCCCAUUAUUAUUAUUAUCCAUUGUUUUACCCUGUUGAGCCUGUUAACCAUUUAUUUUUGAUAUACCCGUUUUUU
rnacentral:lncRNA from 1 species